UACGGAAGGGGCUAGCGUUGUUCGGAAUUACUGGGCGUAAAGAGCGCGUAGGCGGCUUACCAAGUUGGGGGUGAAAUCCCGGAGCUCAACUCCGAAACUGCCUUCAAAACUGGUAGGCUCGAGUCCGGAAGAGGGGCGUGGAAUUCCCAGUGUAGAGGUGAAAUUCGUAGAUAUUGGGAAGAACACCGGUGGCGAAGGCGGCGCACUGGUCCGGCACUGACGCUGAGGCUCGAAAGCGUGGGGAGCAAACAGG
rnacentral:rRNA from 1 species